rnacentral:tRNA from 1 species
GGGCCGGUAGUCUAGCGUGGUUAGGACGCAGCCUUUACGAGGCUGAGGUCGCAGGUUCAAGUCCUGCCCGGCCCACCA